rnacentral:rRNA from 1 species
GACGGAGGAUGCAAGCGUUAUCCGGAAUUAUUGGGCGUAAAGCGUCCGCAGGUGGCAGUUCAAGUCUGCUGUCAAAGACCGGGGCUUAACUUCGGAAAGGCAGUGGAAACUGAACAGCUAGAGUAUGGUAGGGGCAGAGGGAAUUCCUGGUGUAGCGGUGAAAUGCGUAGAUAUCAGGAAGAACAUCGGUGGCGAAGGCGAGUCCCUGGACACUUCCUGACACUGAGGCACGAAAGCUAGGGGAGCAAACAGG